CGACCUCAGAGCAGGCGAGACUACCCGCUGAAUUUAAGCAUAUUACUAAGCGGAGGAAAAGAAACUAACAAGGAUUCCCCCAGUAGCGGCGAGCGAACAGGGAAGAGUCCAGCACCGAACCCCGCAGGCUGCCGCCUGUCGUGGCAUGUGGUGUUUGGGAGGGUCCACUACCCCGACGCCUCGCGCCGAGCCCAAGUCCAACUUGAAUGAGGCCACGGCCCGUAGAGGGUGCCAGGCCCGUAGCGGCCGGUGCGAGCGUCGGCGGGACCUCUCCUUCGAGUCGGGUUGCUUGAGAGUGCAGCUCCAAGUGGGUGGUAAACUCCAUCUGAGACUAAAUAUGACCACGAGACCGAUAGCGAACAAGUACCGUGAGGGAAAGUUGAAAAGAACUUUGAAGAGAGAGUUCAAAAGUACGUGAAACCGUUCUGGGGUAAACGUGAGAAGUCCGAAAGGUCGAACGGGUGAGAUUCACGCCCAUCCGGCCACUGGCCUCCGCCCUCGGCAGAUGGGGCCGGCCGCCCGCGCGGAGCAAUCCGCGGCGGGGUCGUGUCCGGUUGCCUUUCCACUCGCCGCGGGGUGGGGCCGUUCCGGUGUGCGGUGGGCCGCACUUCUCCCCUAGUAGGACGUCGCGACCCGCUGGGUGCCGGCCUACGGCCCGGGUGCGCAGCCUGUCCUUCCGCGGGCCUCGGUUCGCGUCUGUUGGGCAGAGCCCCGGUGUCCUGGCUGGCUGCCCGGCGGUAUAUCUGGAGGAGUCGAUUCGCCCCUUUGGGCGCUCGGGCUCCCGGCAAGCGCGCGCGGUUCUUCCCGGAUGACGGACCUACCUGGCCCGGCCCCGGACCCGCGCCGCUGUUGGCUCGGGAUGCUCUCGGGCGGAAUAAUCGCUCCCGUCAGCGGCGCUUCAGCUUUGGACAAUUUCACGACCCGUCUUGAAACACGGACCAAGGAGUCUAACAUGUGCGCGAGUCAUUGGGCUGUACGAAACCUAAAGGCGUAAUGAAAGUGAAGGUCUCGCCUUGCGCGGGCCGAGGGAGGAUGGGGCUUCCCCGCCCUUCACGGGGCGGCGGCCUCCGCACUCCCGGGGCGUCUCGUCCUCAUUGCGAGGUGAGGCGCACCUAGAGCGUACACGUUGGGACCCGAAAGAUGGUGAACUAUGCCUGGCCAGGACGAAGUCAGGGGAAACCCUGAUGGAGGUCCGUAGCGAUUCUGACGUGCAAAUCGAUCGUCGGAGCUGGGUAUAGGGGCGAAAGACUAAUCGAACCAUCUAGUAGCUGGUUCCCUCCGAAGUUUCCCUCAGGAUAGCUGGUGCUCGUACGAGUCUCAUCCGGUAAAGCGAAUGAUUAGAGGCCUUGGGGCCGAAACGACCUCAACCUAUUCUCAAACUUUAAAUGGGUGAGAUCUCCGGCUUGCUUGAUAUGCUGAAGCCGCGAGCAAACGACUCGGAUCGGAGUGCCAAGUGGGCCACUUUUGGUAAGCAGAACUGGCGCUGUGGGAUGAACCAAACGCCGAGUUAAGGCGCCCGAAUCGACGCUCAUGGGAAACCAUGAAAGGCGUUGGUUGCUUAAGACAGCAGGACGGUGGCCAUGGAAGUCGGAAUCCGCUAAGGAGUGUGUAACAACUCACCUGCCGAAGCAACUAGCCCUGAAAAUGGAUGGCGCUGAAGCGUCGUGCCUAUACUCGGCCGUCAGUCUGGCAGUCAUGGCCGGUCCUUGCGGCCGGCCGCGAAGCCCUGACGAGUAGGAGGGUCGCGGCGGUGGGCGCAGAAGGGUCUGGGCGUGAGCCUGCCUGGAGCCGCCGUCGGUGCAGAUCUUGGUGGUAGUAGCAAAUACUCCAGCGAGGCCCUGGAGGGCUGACGCGGAGAAGGGUUUCGUGUGAACAGCCGUUGCACACGAGUCAGUCGAUCCUAAGCCCUAGGAGAAAUCCGAUGUUGAUGGGGGCCGUCAUAGCAUGAUGCGCUUUGUGCUGGCCCCCGUUGGGCGAAAGGGAAUCCGGUUCCUAUUCCGGAACCCGGCAGCGGAACCGAUACAAGUCGGGCCCCUCUUUUAGAGAUGCUCGUCGGGGUAACCCAAAAGGACCCGGAGACGCCGUCGGGAGAUCGGGGAAGAGUUUUCUUUUCUGCAUGAGCGUUCGAGUUCCCUGGAAUCCUCUAGCAGGGAGAUAGGGUUUGGAACGCGAAGAGCACCGCAGUUGCGGCGGUGUCCCGAUCUUCCCCUCGGACCUUGAAAAUCCGGGAGAGGGCCACGUGGAGGUGUCGCGCCGGUUCGUACCCAUAUCCGCAGCAGGUCUCCAAGGUGAAGAGCCUCUAGUCGAUAGAAUAAUGUAGGUAAGGGAAGUCGGCAAAUUGGAUCCGUAACUUCGGGAUAAGGAUUGGCUCUGAGGAUCGGGGCGUGUCGGGCUUGGUCGGGAAGUGGGUCAGCGCUAACGUGCCGGGCCUGGGCGAGGUGAGUGCCGUAGGGGUGCCGGUAAGUGCGGGCGUUUAGCGCGGGCGUGGUCUGCUCUCGCCGUUGGUCGGCCUCGUGCUGGCCGGCGGUGCAGGAUGCGCGCGCCUGCGCGGCGUUCGCGCCCCGGUGCUUCAACCUGCGUGCAGGAUCCGAGCUCGGUCCCGUGCCUUGGCCUCCCACGGAUCUUCCUUGCUGCGAGGCCGCGUCCGCCUUAGCGUGCUCCUCCGGGGGCGCGCGGGUGCGCGGAUUCUCUUCGGCCGCCAUUCAACGAUCAACUCAGAACUGGCACGGACUGGGGGAAUCCGACUGUCUAAUUAAAACAAAGCAUUGCGAUGGCCCUAGCGGGUGUUGACGCAAUGUGAUUUCUGCCCAGUGCUCUGAAUGUCAACGUGAAGAAAUUCAAGCAAGCGCGGGUAAACGGCGGGAGUAACUAUGACUCUCUUAAGGUAGCCAAAUGCCUCGUCAUCUAAUUAGUGACGCGCAUGAAUGGAUUAACGAGAUUCCCGCUGUCCCUAUCUUUUUUGGCCCUCCCUGUUUGCUAGAUUGCGUGAAUUGAGAACCCCCAAGUGUCUGUAUUUGAGCUUGCUUGAUUAUUGUAAAGAUCGAACAGUUAAGUGGAUUGCGCCAGAACAUACAAUUACUAGGCAUGUUACUAAAGGAUGUCCUCAGGGCUCCAUUUGUGGUCCUAUAUUUUGGGACAUUUUUACAGAACCCCUCUUAGAGUUGCUGAAUAACAGUGAAAAUGUAGCCGGUGUAAUAGCUUACGCCGAUGAUUUGUUUGUGAUUAUAACAGGAGAUUCUAGAAAUUCUAUAGAGACAAGAGCUAACAUAAUGCUUAAUUUAGUAAGUCAGUGGUGUGCUUGUAACAAACUGCAAGUGGCUGUUAACAAAACAAAAUACAUGUUACUUAAAGGGAAAUUAUCAGCAGGAAGAGGACCCUCUAUAAAACUGCAAGAUACUCCAAUCAGUCGCGAAGCCAUUUGUAGAUAUCUUGGACUGUAUCUAGAUGAGGGUUUGAACUUUGGAGCACAUAUCAAACAAGUGUGUGAGAAGGCUAUGAGUCUCAUGAAUAAGAUUUGUACAAUAGCGACUUCCAGCUAUAAAUUACCCCCUAAUGCUAUUAGAAUAUAUCAUGAAGCGAUAUUGUUAUCAAUCGUAUCUUUUGGGGCUAGUGUUUGGGCACAUAAGCUAAGACAGGUACGACCUGUGAGACACUUGAGAAGGAUGCAACGAAGUGUGCUCAUUAGGAUGACUGGUGCCUUCAGAACAACACCUACUGAGGCAUUAUUGGUGGUCUUAGGACUGUAUCCUGUAGACUUACAAAUCCGCCAAAGAGGAGCUAGGUACUGGCUUCGUAAGGGUGACUUAGGUAGAGUGGAAGCAAUUACAGGACAAAGAAUUGAGGACAAAAUCCAGCUAGCACGCUGGCUGGAUAGAGAAUGGCAAAUAGUGUGGGAUAAUACUGAUACUGGAAGACGAGUACAUAGGAUAUUUCCAGAUAUUAAAGAGAGGAAGCGAAUGCGACACAUAAAUGCAACAAAAGGAAUGAUUCACUUCUUAACUGGACACGGACCGUACCCUACCUACUUCUUAAAAAUAAAUAGUUCAGACCAUGAUAGAUGUGAAUGUGGUGCUGAGGGAGAUCCAGAACACAUGAUAUAUGGGUGUCAAAACAGUGAUUUCGAAUCUGACGAGCUAGAGAUGUUACGUGAUAAAACCGUUAAUGAAAUAGUUCGUGAUGAAAAGGCGUGUGAAAUAGUGUGUAAAUAUGCAGAUAGGUACUCAGUUAGGCAAAUGCGGGAGUAUACUAUUGCUGGAGGACGAGCAGCGCAGCACGCAGCACGAAGACUGGAACGCCAGCAGCAUGUGAAUCCAGGUGUUCAAGGUCCAGCAACAGCAACGAGAGCUCGGCGCGCGCUUUCUCCAGACACACUAGAUGCUGCCAGAGGAACCGCACCACCUGUGCCACCUAACAUCUAUAAUCGCCGUCGCUUUCUGUGGUAUGCUCCGCGUGGCCGUGCUCUAGCUGCCUAUAUGGCAAAUCGGCAGGCUCUGGGGCAGUUGUCUCCAGAAUCUGGCGAGGAGUCACGGGGUGGCGAUGGGCGCGGUGCAGGGGAGGAUGCCGAAUACAACUAGUGAAUAAAAUGUUCAAGACAAGAGAACUACUUGGUUUAACUACAGUAGAAUAAUAAUUGUACAGUAAAUGUAGAUGUAGGAUGACUAAAAAAAAAAAAAAAAAAAAAAAAAAAAAAAAAAAAAAAAAAAAAGGAUUCAGUUGCCUCCUGGGUCGGACAGGGCGUGAGGAGUUCCAGAGAUUACUCUGAAGUGUUUCCACGUCCUGACCAUGUGAACAGGAGGUAAUUCUGCAAUGAGUUCAAACUGUUGCCUCAUGGGAGCGGAGUCCUGACUAGAUCUACCAGGACUACAGCAGGGGUACAUGAGGUCACAGUUUAUUUCAUGGACAUAGACUCUUAGGUUAGUGGGUGUUGGUGAUGGGUCUUCUACUUUCACUUUCUUCCAUUCACACUCUGACUAUUCAAUCUUUUUCUUCUAUUAGGUUAG